ACAGGAUGGUGGCAGGUAUGUAAGCAUGCAGCGCGUUGUGAGACUAGCGCUUAAAUCUGAACUCUCAAACUAUAAUUGGCGAAAAUAACUACGCCUUAGCUGCCUAAUUUAGAAUUAGCUCAGCUUUUGUCCCGCUGGUAUUCUGUUCUGUUAAACCAGUAACCGGGGCAUCGAUCAACAGAACUGGCUUGGUUAGUGGUGUGGUGACCAGGCGAGAUAAAGCACCUAAGGAAGACGGUACAGGCAAUCUGCCAGCCUUCCCCUUCCCUACAAUUAAAUGGCAGAUAAGCAUGUAGAAAGCAUAAUUUGUUCC
rnacentral:tmRNA from 1 species